ACUUCACAGGGGAUUCCUACAAGAUUAAUAAAGUAGACCUGCAGGACCCGAGCAGAGCUACGAUGCGCUCCCAGGUCACCUUAGCUCACAUCAGGCAGCAGGCCGACCAACCAGGAGGACGUGGGAGCAGCAGAGGGAGAGGAGCCUUCGGUCUCUCUGGGGAGGAAACACUGUGUGCGAAGGCUUCAAACAGCCAGGGUAUAGACCAAUAGCGUUUCUGCUUUCUCUGGACGUGACAUCACGAUGACAUGAUGAGGGUUUCUAUGGCAGACUUGACGAAGCUCCUCCAGAGCCUCAGAAAAAGGAGUACUCCUCGUUAACUGAUCUUGAUGUGUACAAAUCGGUGGAGUGGCCCUUUAACUGUCCUGCUACCUGUGAGCCCGUUUUAAUUUCCCAGGACACAAGGCCGGAGCAUGGAGGGAAUACCGCACAGUCUGAGACUUCAACAAGACACACCACAGCAAGGCACAUGGCCAGUCAGUGGUGGGACCAAUCCUUUAUGCCUUAUACCAGGGGUGUCAAACAUAUGGUCUGUGGGCCAGAACCGGCCCGCCAAAGGGUCCAAUCAAGCCCACUGGACGACUUUGCAAAGUCUUCUUUUUCUGUAAAUUUACGACUUUAAUCUUUGAAGUAUUUUCUUGUCAUAUUACCUCUUUUCUCCCGGGUCCCUAACAUUAUUAUUUCUCGCUGGUCUCCCCAGCAGGACAGCUGGUGUUGUGGGGUUGGGAGGGUGAAGGUUCCUGUCACCAACAAUGAGCUGAUUUGCUGUUGCUGGUGUGUAGCCCCAAACACGGAGAAAGUUAGGACAGAAAGUAUUUUGACAGUAUUUUGAUAAAACGCUAAGAAAUGAUUAGGACAUAAUUAUUGUUAUUCUACAUUCUACAGUUCAAGAGAUAUUUGCCUGCAUGCGUUGAUGUAGCACCCCCAAAUCUUGUUUGAGCAAUACCAUCACAAAAUCUGCUGCUAGCACAAAUAUCUGGCUGAAAUGACAAAAUAUCUACUCAGGUUUUGGCUUACAGUUUCUGAGAUCCAGACCCUUUUAGAGGAGGGCAGAAGGAAAGGCAACUACAUGUCAAGCAACAACUCAGAUUAUAAAGGCCACCUUUUGUUUUCUUCUUUUUUUUAAGAUAAUUGUUUUUUGCCAUUUUUACCUUUAUUUCUGAAAGGACAGCUUUAGACAUGAAAGGGGAGAGAGAGGGGGAAUGACAUGCAGCAAAGGGCCGUAGGUCAGAACCGAACCCGCGGCCAACGCGUCAAAGGACUGAUCCUCUGUAUAUGGGCACGCAUUCUAGCAGGUGAGCUAAACGCUAAGGCCAAGGCCACCUUUUUAAGGUUAAAGUGCACAAAAUGUUCCCUAAUAUAAAGUCAGAUCAGGAGUUAGCCAUCUGCCACCUCUUCCAUGAAGUGCCCUCAAAUCUUCCUGUGAAAGAGUGCAGCUGAUCGAAGUCUUGAAGCGUUUAGCUCCCGGUCAAGCGGACAGAAACAUGAGCUGCUGCUGCUAAUGCACGGCAGCACCUCUUCCUUUGUGUUGUAAAUAAACCACCAGCUGAUCCUGUUUCAGCCCGUCUGAGCACAUGCUCAUCAACACACUGACUGAAUGCAGGUGAUAUAAAGAGAUGCAGUAGAUAUAAAAGGCUAAAAACAAUGGGAUAACAAAAAUCUCC